CAAGGUUUAAAUGUUUAAAAGGGAUUAAUUACAUAAAUGAAUUCCUAAUCCAAAAUGUUACAAAUAGUCUAAAAGCAUUUACAUAAUUAUCCAAAAAAGGUCUUAAAUUAAAAACUGUACAUAUGCUACAAACAGUCCAAAAACAUUAUACAUUAUCCAAAAGUUCAAUGUACAUCAAAUAAAUUUGGAAAAAGUUGAAAUUAGCUGCAAAUCCAGCAGUUUGAAGGCAAAAGCCUUUGAAACCAGUUGCCAAGACCAUCCUGUAGGUCGAACCACCCUUGGAUUCAAAGCAUCCCAAGAUCCAACCUCUAACUAAAGUAGGCGCAAACUUCCCUUCAAUUAAGGUCACUUCACCUUUGUAAACCUGCAAAAAUCAAUUCAGAAAUUAAAAGUCUUUUCAAAUAAGCACUUAAAAAAGCUGGAGAAUAAUGGAUAAGUUAAUCAGUUUAAUGUUUUGCACAAGAGACCAUAACGAACACCAGUUCAAACAACAAUGAAACCACAAAACAACAAUCCCACAAAAUCUGGAAUGAAAAGCAAAACUGACAAAUAAUUUUAAAACUUAAAAAUUCAUCAUGAAGACUUAAGAAGCUCAUCAUAUAUACCCCGAACACGUUAACAAGAAGAGGACGGUUGAAUAAAAAAGAAGCAAUAAAAAGAUAAUAAUUUUGGUUAAACAUAAAACACAUAGCAUUCGAAAGACAGAGAACACACAAAAGAAGAAUAGGGUUACCUUCGGCAAGAAAGGGAGAUAACCCUAACAUUCUAAAAAACCAAACAACAUUCCAAAAGAAGAUCAAAGAAUAGAGGGAGAUGAAGAGAGAUUUAGAGAAAGAAGAUGCUUAUCUGAAGCAUGGUGGAAGAACUUGCGUCGCCGUCGAACCGCUCUCAAACCAAGUAGAUUUCUUCUCCUUUUUGCUUAAACUCCAUAUCAUUGCGUUCGUCCUUCCAAACCGAAUGAAAACCCCUUGAUGAUUUCCUUAAAUCGUAACUAUAAAAGGCCUAAUUUCAGAUUUAGGGUUAGGGUUUCAACUGUUUGUUGGCUGGUGUUUAGGUUUUUGUUUCGUUGUUAGAAUGAACUAGGGUUCGUUGGCCGCGCGAGAGAGAGAGAACGUUUAGGUUAGGGUUUAAGUUUGUGUUUUCUUUUGGAGCGCCAAUCCGGUUGAUUGAGGCGGAUUUAGGGGGAAAGGAGGCCGAAUUUGGAUUCAUAAGCCAAAAAGAGGUGGGAUUUGUGUUUUAACAUUUAGGUUUUAGGGUGGGGUCGCCGAAGAAGAAGGCGGCGCCGCCACGGUUAAUCGGCCUCCACUGUCUUCUCCAGCAAGUGUCGGCCGGGGUGAUGACGGAGAAAGAAGCUAAGUUGUAGAGCGUUUAGGUUUGAGAAGUGAAGAGAGAGACAACGGGUUGAAAACUGAUUUUUUUGGUUGAAAAAAUAAUUUAAAGGGUGGUCUGUGGAUGAGCACGGUGGUGACAAGUGUCUCCACCAUGGACACUUGUCACCAAUGGUUUGAGUCUUUUCGGUGGAUUUGGUGUGGCAUCCAUAAAUCCUUACCGUGUCCUAGCAUAGUUAUCAUCUGUCCACCCUAAUUGACUUAAUCAAGUCAUGAAAUCAAACGGUCCUUG
rnacentral:lncRNA from 1 species